rnacentral:rRNA from 1 species
UACGUAGGGACCAAGCGUUGUUCGGAUUUACUGGGCGUAAAGCGCACGUAGGCGGCUUUCUAAGUCGGGGGUGAAAUCCUGGAGCUCAACUCCAGAACUGCCUUCGAUACUGGAAAGCUCGAGUCCGGGAGAGGUGAGUGGAACUGCGAGUGUAGAGGUGAAAUUCGUAGAUAUUCGCAAGAACACCAGUGGCGAAGGCGGCUCACUGGCCCGGUACUGACGCUGAGGUGCGAAAGCGUGGGGAGCAAACAGG